GACGAACGCUGGCGGCGUGCUUAACACAUGCAAGUCGAACGAAGAGCGAUGGCAUCUUUCUUCUGUCCGUCUUAGUGGCGGACGGGUGAGUCACGCGUAAUCAACCUUCCCUUUUGAGGGGGACUACAGUUGGAAACGCUUGCUAAUACCACAUACGAUCUAAUCUCGGCAUCGAGGGGAGAUUUACGGUGGCCUCUACUUGUAUGCCAUCACUGCAGGUGGGGGGUGCGUCGGUUGAGCUCGAUGGCGUGGUAACGUCCCACGAAGGCGAGGAUCAGUAGUCGGUCUGAGAGGAUGGACGGCCACAUUGGGACGGAGACACGGCCCAGACUGCUACAGGAGGCAGCAGUGGGGCAUCGUGCGCAAUGGGCGGAAGUCUGUCGGAGCAACGCCGCGUGAGGGAGGAGGGCCGUCGGGUUGUGAAGCUCGGUUAAUCGGGAGGAAAGGGCUUCUUGCGAAUAGGGAGAAGGAUUGACGGUACCGGAAAAAAAAGCACCGGCUAACUACGUG
rnacentral:rRNA from 1 species